UCUAAUCUCUGGUUUUCUUUUAACUGGGGUUUGUUUUGUUGGUAGCGUCUAAAAACAAUAACUGAUUUGUUUGGGUUUUUGAAUAGUUUGAAAAGUUAAAAGUUUUUAAUGUGAAUAAUUUUCCAGUUUAAGGAAACGUCGGUACAAUGGGAAUCAAGGUUAUAAAACUACGAGCGAGAAAAGAAAAAUAUUCUUCCAGUGAAAGUGACUCAUCGCUAGAUUUAUCUCAGAGUAGUUAUGAAAAUAUUUCAGUACCAGUACGUGUACCUACUAUACCACAGACCGAAAUUGAACCGAAGACUGGCUCUUCAAAACCAAUCUCAGAUAAUAUUUUCAAAACCCCUGACCUGUUUGGUAGUUCCAAGUUAACAGUGGACAAGAAAAAAAUUGUACGCACAUACGGCACCAAAAGUGUUUUUUGGGAAUCGAUUGUCUCCAGCACACCUCUCAGCGAGAAGUCCGUACACAUGAAAGUAGUACCUUUAUCACCCAUUUGCGAUAAACCAUUAUCCGAUGAAUCCAUUGUUGGUGAAAAAGAACAAGAUGAUUCACUUGAUUGGUGUACAUUAUCUAAAGAAGUAGCUUCAUCCAAGGAAAGGCGAGCCAGGAAUGUCAGAACAAGUCCUCGAAAGAGAAACUUGACAGUUACAGAAAAGAGGAAGAAGGUGUUGCCUGUCAAAAGUGUCUCUCCACGAGUAGUCAAAGUGACAAACAGAACACGACAGAAUGCAGAAAGUGAGAGUAAACAUAAUACAAGUGAUGACGAGAUGGUUAUCAACAGUUCGGCGCCCAGGAACGUUGUGUCAGAGGCAGCUUCUAACGUCGUUCGUCCUAGCAUCAACGAGGGUGGAACUCAAAAAGAUACAACUGCAGCGCACAAAGAAAAAAACAAUAGCACUUUAAAAGAAGCAAAAAACACAGUUACAGAAGUGCCAAAAAAAAUAAUUACCAGGCAGUCAAAUAUUCCUGUGGAAAUUAUAUCAAAUAGUCCAGUUGGUUCUAAGAAAUUAAAUUGUGUGAAGGGUGAUGAGUCUUCAGCAGUUGAGAACAGUUGGAAUGCGAAUGGUGCUAGUGAGUCCGUAAACGGUAUCAGCGGAAACACUGAGAGGUUGGGAAAUAAGAGCAAGGUUGCAGUUGUGUGUGAGAAUGUGACCAUUGAUCAUGAGAUGGAAAAGGAAAAUGCAGGUAGUAAUAAUUCAAGUAGUUCCAGAAGAUCACUGCUUAAGAAGACUCAGGAUACUGUGGCACUUGAUCUUAAUGAAGAACCAGUAGUUACUACAGAAGGGAUUGAAAAAACACAGAAAAGUGCAGAGGAGUUACAUGAAGUUGUGACAUCAUCAGUUAUCACUGGUGGAUGUGAAAAUUCUCAGUCAGUACCUUCUAGAAAAAGAGGAAGAUCUAGAAAGAACACAAAUUCUCAAAUACAAGAACCUGAGCCUGCAAGUUCUGAAACAUCUGAAGAAAAUGCGCCAGAUCCAAAGCCAACUGCUGUGCUCGCAAAGAAAAAGGAAUCUAGGAUUUCUCAAGAAACUAACAGUAAGAAAAAUCAACGCCGCAGUCUCAAGAGGUUGAGUUCAAAGGAUGCUGAUUCUAGCCCCAGGAAGUCUAAGCGGCAGCGCGUCGCACCACUCCAGUUUUGGAAAGGGGAGAGACUGCAGUACGAACCCAUCAGUCAUCCAGAGUGUCUAACAAUAUGUAAAAUAGUGGGCGUCGUUCGUCCAAGAGUGGAAGCUAAAAUAGUGAAGAAGGAUGCUGCUGCUCCCAAUAACAAAUUGAAACAGAAAAAAACUCAUAAGAAAAUAAAUGGCCAAAAUAAAGAAGAUUAUUUAUCAUUAUCGAGAACCAUUUCAGAGGCAGGUAAUCCGAUGGAGAAAAUUACCAUGAAACUUGACAAAACAACUGAUGUUGUGUGUGCAACCCAUUUCUCGAAGAAUGCAUUUGAGCCUUUUGUUCUCAACUCUGGACAAAGGAUCGAUGGCUUUAUGUUCCAUCCAGGCCUCAGCCUGAACAAUCUGGCUAACGGAUUUCUAAAUAUCGCAGCUGGAGCCAGUCAUGAUGAAGAAGUCAAUGAUGAUGUGGAGUUGUGCUGUGGUGGGUGUAGACAAAAAACUAAAACACAACAAAGAAAGAGGAUUAAAGCACAUUACAAUGUAAGCUGCCAGGAAAAAAUAACUUAUGAAGAAAUAGAAUGACAGUUUGGUGUAUCAAAAACUGAUGAUUUAACAUCAAGCAGCCUAAGCAGUGAUGGUGUUGACGACUGUGAAUAUUCUUCUCUCAUCGAUAAGCAAAAAAAUAUCAGCAACUACCACAGCAGCAGCAAUAGUUCCAGAAAAUCAAGCUGCUGGUUGUCAUCAAAGGCAGAGUGGAUAUUACAGUUAACGACCACCUGGUUCAUGCGAGACCAGGCAGCUCUGUUAGCGUUCCAAGGGGUAUUCCGUACAAAAUCGAAAAUACCAGCCCUUCGGACUCUUUGCUGUCAUAUGUGACAAUUUUUUUUUCAUGAAUUUGCUUUCUCAGAUGUAACUCAAUUUUUCUUUUAAAUCUAUUGUAGAUAUAAAAAAAAUUUGUAUUUUUUUUACAGAAUGUUUAAUUAGGUGUAUUUAUAUAACAACAUUUUAUUAACUUUAACCUGUAAGUGAUAGGCCUGUGCAAAUAUUUGAAGUUUUAAAUAAGAAUACAAAUAAUAAA